rnacentral:rRNA from 1 species
UACGUAGGGUCCGAGCGUUGUCCGGAGUUACUGGGCGUAAAGCGCGCGCAGGCGGCGGUGCUGGCCCGGCGUGAAAGCCCCCGGCUCAACCGGGGAGAGUCGUCGGGGACCGCACCGCUUGAGGGCGGUAGGGGCUGGUGGAAUGCCUGGUGUAGUGGUGAAAUGCGUAGAGAUCAGGCAGAACACCUGGGGCGAAGGCGGCCAGCUGGGCCGUCCCUGACGCUGAGGCGCGAAGGCGUGGGGAGCAAACAGG